UUUCUUUUCCUCUCGUCUCCAGUUCGACUUCGAGCCUUUGUGUCUUCUCCAACCUUUAGGGCCAUUAACAACUCCAUCGCAAUAGAUAUUGAGAAUCCAGAUGGUGUGGUGGUUAAACAGGUCUCCAGGACCAGGGCUGUUGAUGGGAUCUUUUCGGAAACAUUUCCACUCUCUGAAUACGUCAAUGAAGGAACAUGGAUUGUUACAGCAAGGUUUGACCACUGGGAGGAGAACACGUUCACCUCUCAGUUUCAGGUGAAGAAAUAUGUGCUCCCUGCCUUCAAUGUUACCUUAACACCCAAGAAAUCCUUCCUUAGCUUGGAUGACA